rnacentral:rRNA from 1 species
UGCUAAUACCGGAUAACAACAGAUGAUGCCUAUCAACUGUUUAAAAGAUGGUUCUGCUAUCACUCUUGGAUGGACCUGCGGUGCAUUAGCUAGUUGGUAAGGGUAACGGCCUAUCAAGGCGAUGAUGCAUAGCCGAGUUGAGAGACUGAUCGGCCACAUUGGGACUGAGACACGGCCCAAACUCCUACGGGAGGCAGCAGCG